UCAUUGGUUCCAACAUUUAUUGGGCAGCAAAAAAGCCAUGAUAAAAAUUAUGCCAACUUAUGUCAAUUCCGAAAUAUUAAUGGAACACAGGAAUUCCCCCGAAACCCUCUGACAUAUUUUCUGGAUCUGCCCCAUUUAUAUGAAUGCACCCCUUUGUGAAAGCUGUGAAAAAAUUAAAAAUUUCCACAUUCCAUAUCCUAAAGCUAAUCUUCUACCCAAGGUCCAAACCAGCCUACCUCAUCCACAACUACUUAAAAUCUAUCCACAAAUCAGUCUAACCGCUAUUUCAAAUCUUCCUUGCCUUGUCUCUGCACUACCUCAUUCCUUAGCUUACCACCUCCCACCCAUUCUCAUGUAACGUUCCUACGUUGGGAAUAACGGCUGCCAGACUUAGAGUCAGUGCCAACAAAAAUUAGAAGAAGAAGAACGCGCAACAGCUGUAGCCAAAGCAUCUCUUAGUGUAUUUAAAGGUGUCUGUUGGAAUUCUUGCCUUUCGGUAGCUCUGCAAUCACACACUUGCAACCGCUCACCGUUGGUCAACGAUCAAAACAAAUCGAUCGUUGCCAUGGGACUACUUGGCAUACUUUUGGUUUCGAGUCGCCACUUCCUGGACACAGCUCACUAUUAUCCUGCAUAGGAUAAUAGACCCACCAAAGGUCACGUGGGAUUGGAAUCCGGAGUUAUUCCAUCGAUCGGACUAAUCGCCCGCUCAUUCGCUUUCAUUAUUUUCAUUCGCUCAUUACUAGUUUUUCCGGUAUUGCUCAUAACGGACCAGUUAAUUAUUCUCGACCGCUCAACUAUUAUUGUUAUUGUGUAAGUGACAAGCUUUUGUUAUAAAAUAAAAGGUGACCUGUGGUGACAA